UGUGGCACUUAGCCCAUAAUAGGUGCUUGGU
rnacentral:piRNA from 1 species